UGCAUGCGAGCGGACAGAAGGGAGCUUGCUCCCGGAUGUUAGCGGCGGACGGGUGAGUAACACGUGGGUAACCUGCCUGUAAGACUGGGAUAACUCCGGGAAACCGGAGCUAAUACCGGAUAGUUCCUUGAACCGCAUGGUUCAAGGAUGAAAGACGGUUUCGGCUGUCACUUACAGAUGGACCCGCGGCGCAUUAGCUAGUUGGUGGGGUUAUGGCUCACCAAGGCGACGAUGCGUAGCCGACGUGAGAGGGUGAUCGGCCACACUGGGACUGAGACACGGCCCAGACUCCUACGGGAGGCAGCAGUAGGGAAUCUUCCGCAAUGGACGAAAGUCUGACGGAGCAACGCCGCGUGAGUGAUGAAGGUUUUCGGAUCGUAAAGCUCUGUUGUUAGGGAAGAACAAGUGCGAGAGUAACUGCUCGCACCUUGACGGUACCUAACCAGAAAGCCACGGCUAACUACGUGCCAGCAGCCGCGGUAAUACGUAGGUGGCAAGCGUUGUCCGGAAUUAUUGGGCGUAAAGGGCUCGCAGGCGGUUUCUUAAGUCUGAUGUGAAAGCCCCCGGCUCAACCGGGGAGGGUCAUUGGAAACUGGGAAACUUGAGUGCAGAAGAGGAGAGUGGAAUUCCACGUGUAGCGGUGAAAUGCGUAGAGAUGUGGAGGAACACCAGUGGCGAAGGCGACUCUCUGGUCUGUAACUGACGCUGAGGAGCGAAAGCGUGGGGAGCGAACAGGAUUAGAU
rnacentral:rRNA from 1 species